GCCAAGCGGUGAUGGGAUACUGCAGGAUGCGGCAUCCAUAGGGUGAAAACACGUCUACCCUGCAGAAAGUGCCAGUUGUAUUUUAUACAGGUAAGGAGCCUGAGUCCUUUGAUAAAGCAAAUUGUCAGUGAUACUUUAGUGUGGGUACUGUAUGUUUUUUUUGUGCGAUCCCAUGCGGCAGAUCUUACAAAAACAUGGGAAUGUAAGCUCACUGUCGUCCAGAAUAAAAAAACUGCAUCUUUAAGGUUACUCCAUUUAAACUGCAGUCCACCUUCACUGACCCCACCGCUGCCAGCGCACUCCGAGUUUCUUCAUUUUGCUCCACAUUUGCGGAAGAGAGGAGGGAAAGAAUGCAGCCUGAAUUGGGGACGGCGCAGCAUGACAUACCGCUGAUCUGCACGAGGACAGACAAGAGUGGAGGAACUGAUUGGCACUAUUUAAACCUGCACCACUGAUCGGCCAGAGCCUGUGCCAGGGAUCGAACUCUGCCCCUCCACCACAUCCAGCGCCAGUCAGGAUCCGGGGCAAGAAGACCAAGCACUGGCGGGCGACGAGAAGGUCGCGCCUCCCGAGAUCCUGGCUGUGCCCCCUGAGGAGGUCCCGGAGUGCUCAGAGAGGGAACUAGACGACCCUCUCUUCUGUCUGUCUCUGUCUGUGUGUGUCUGUGUGGCAUAUGUGUCCGUAUGUUGCCCCCACUUCCCCUCUUUGUGUCCACCAGAUGGCGACCCAGCCGCGGAGCCGAACCCCAGGGAGGAGGUUCCUGACCCGAAUGUGCUGGUCCAAGGCGAGGUGGACAAGCCCCAAGGUACGAGAGUCCGGGGCCGCCAUGCGGGACCACGCCGGGGAGCCAGGCCGAGGGUCCGGGGCCGCCAUGCAGGACCACGCCGGGGAGCCAGGCCGAGGGUCCGGGGCCGCCAUGCGGGACCACGCCGGGGAGCCAGGCCGAGGGUCCGGGGCCGCCAAGCGGGACCACGCCGGGGGGGCAGCCCGAGGGACCGGGGCCGCCACGACUGACCACGCCGGGGGGCCAGCCCGAGGGACCGGGGCCGCCACGCCUGACCACGCCGGGGGGGCCAGCCCGAGGGACCGGGGCCGCCACGCCUGACCACGCCGGGGAGCCAGCCCGAGGGACCGGGGCCGCCACGCCUGACCACGCCGGGGAGCCAGCCCGAGGGACCGGGGCCGCCACGCCUGACCACGCCGGGGAGCCAGCCCGAGGGACAGGGGCCGCCACGCCUGACCACGCCGGGGAGCCAGCCCGAGGAACCGGGGCCGCCACGCCUGACCACGCCGGGGAGCCAGCCCGAGGGACUGGGGCCGCCACGCCUGACCACGCCGGGGAGCCAGCCCGAGGGACCGGGGCCGCCACGCCUGACCACGCCGGGGAGCCAGCCCGAGGGACCGGGUCCUCCAAGGGGAGGAUACAGCAGGGCAGGAGCCCUGUGGUUGCCGCCGUCCGCCCCGCCGCCUCAGGAUUGCCUGCAGCUGGGCUCCACACCUGAAUCCAAUCCUGACGCCCCAUAAAUGCCGGAAGUUUCCGCCCGUUCUGGGUCUCUGGCAUUUUCGUGAACUCGCUGCACGAACUUGACCUAGUUUUGUUUCAUGUGUUUUGAGUUCUGGCAAUCGCCACACGCCUACGGGUUAGUUUGUGUUUUUUCCCUUUUAUUUCCCGUUUUUGGCCACCGCGCCAUUGUUUAUUUGUAUUUGUUUAUAUAUAUGAAUAAAACCCCUUCCCAACAUGUCA
ensembl:lncRNA